CAAAAAACAUCAUAGACAAAUUGGUGGAGUCAGUGUCAUUGGUGUGGGUGACCUACUCAAGCCUUAUCAACAUUGUACUUGUUAAACAUCUCUGUUAAAGCAUCACCACCAGGACUGCUGAAGCUUUAGGUGCUCCACCUUCCCAGGGGGGAUUGUUGUACUACUAAUAGCUGUAAAGAACAGAGGUGCAGAAAAGAAGAUGUUGUGGGGCGCUGUGAUGUGGCAUGUGAGCAGCUUUGGGAUCCUGCCGUUAUCACUUGGAUUGAUGAGCAGGAGGCACACAGGAUUACAGCUAUUGCCGUAACCAGAUGGGUCAUGCUGAUAAUUCAGGACAGCAGUUACAUACAUAAAUAGCCUGGUGAACCUCCAGCUUUGUUGGAAAUGUGUGACAGCUAAGAGCUCACUCCUGACUAUUGGAUGCAUGGCUGGGAAGACUCUAUCAGAGUGUGAAAAUACUUGG
rnacentral:lncRNA from 1 species